GUGGGGAAUAUUGGACAAUGGGGGGAACCCUGAUCCAGCCAUGCCGCGUGUGUGAAGAAGGCCUUUUGGUUGUAAAUCACUUUAAGCGAGGAGGAGGCUACCGAGAUUAAUACUCUUGGAUAGUGGACGUUACUCGCAGAAUAAGCACCGGCUAACUCUGUGCCAGCAGCCGCGGUAAUACAGAGGGUGCGAGCGUUAAUCGGAUUUACUGGGCGUAAAGCGUGCGUAGGCGGCUUUUUAAGUCGGAUGUGAAAUCCCCGAGCUUAACUUGGGAAUUGCAUUCGAUACUGGGAAGCUAGAGUAUGGGAGAGGAUGGUAGAAUUCCAGGUGUAGCGGUGAAAUGCGUAGAGAUCUGGAGGAAUACCGAUGGCGAAGGCAGCCAUCUGGCCUAAUACUGACGCUGAGGUACGAAAGCAUGGGGAGCAAACAGGAUUAGAUACCCCUGUAGUCC
rnacentral:rRNA from 1 species